ensembl:lincRNA
UUCACCUGGGGAGACAAUGUUGCCAGUGAGUGUCCUGGUUGCCUCUCUAUUCCAGCUCUUUGUCCUGGGCAGAGCUUGCUGCACCUUCCAGUUCCAGUAAUCAAGGAAGUGGAGUCCCUGCAAUUCUUCAAGGAACCUUGAGAACUCAGGAGGUCCUGGGGUGGCUGCAUCAAUCCUGCGGACCAAUGCCAGUCAGCAGAGGGGUCAUUCCCAGGGCCACAUGGCUGGCUGAGUUGGGCCUUGGCCAGACUGGACAGACUCACUGCUUCUGCGCGUUGGAGUUGGGAAGGAAUUCCAUCCAGAGAGAUUCUAAAGAGUCAGCACGACGCCAGAGGAGGAGAGAAAUGGCUGAGAAGGGAGGAACAUUUUAUGUGACGAUUACUGCCAGGGAGCUUUAUCUGUUGCGAACGGACGUGGUGAAACAAUUUGCACAAUAUGGUCCUUUGAGGGAUUCUGGAAAAAAGUCCUUCCAUCAGCAGGAACUUGAAAUUUUCCCUUGUGAUGAGCGUUUCUGCUCUGGAAAGCGGGUGUAAGGACUCCUAAGGCUGUCCCUUUAAUUCUCGGUUCUGAGUGGCUGACUGGACACAGUAAGUUCCCUACUUACUUCCCUAAUAGCUCUGACUCGGUUUCACAAAAGCUGCCUCUUUCCUUGUGUAACGAAACCAUGAAGUCUUGAAGAAUGCCUGAUUUCCUGGGCAAAGGAGCUUCUUGAGUAAUAAUAUUUAGUGGGAAUUGAGGUGGUGGGAGUGCUGGCGGCAGUGGUGAUGUGGUGGUGGUGUGUUUGUUACUGGAAGUUGCAAUGUGCUUGUUGUGGUGUGUGUACUAGUGUCAGUGGUGAUGUUGUAAUGUUGGUAUGUGUAGUAGUGGCAAUGGUGAUGUGGUGGUCGUGGUGGUGGUGGUGUGUGUAGUAGCAGCAGUGGUGUGCUGGUGGUGGUGUAUGUGCUAGUGUCAGAGGUAAUGUGGUGGUGGUGGUUUUUGUUACUGUAAGUUAUGAUGUGCUGGUGGUUGUGUGUGUGCUAGUGUCAGUGGUAAUGGAGUGGUGAUGUGUGUACUAGCGGCAGUGAUGAUGUGGCGGUGGUGUGUUUCCUAGCGGCAGUGGUGAUGUGAUGGUCAUGGUGAUGUGUGUACUAUCAGCCGUGGUGAUGUGGUGUUGAUGGUGGUGUGUGUGCUCGCAGCAGUGGUGAUGUGGUGGUGGUGUGUGUAUUAGCAGCAGUGGUGAUGUGAUGGUCAUGGUGAUGUGCGUACUAUUCGCCAUGGUGAUGUGGUGUUGAUGGUGGGGUGUGUACUAGCCUCAGUGGUGAUGUGGUGGCUGUGAUGUGAUGGCGUGUGUGCGUCUGCAUGGAGGAUGGAGGGAAUAAGGUGUUUAUUUCCUUCGUAGAGUAAUUUUGGCCAAAAAACUACUUUGCUCUGGAUAUUUACUACAGGAGUAUUUUAGAAAUAUAUCUGUUCGUUGAGUACUGCAUAUUUUAAGCAACAAAUCAGCCCGUAAACUGCAUUGCCGCAGAAUUUAUUAAGAAAGAGGUGCACAUGGUAUGUAGAGAAACAUUAAUGGGACUUUGUGAAAUGAAAUAAAUGAAAAAAUCUUCAUUUUCGGACAGUAUUUAUGGUUUUUAAGGCCUGAUUGCCGGUGCUUUGAGUUGCCUUUGCUCUGAUUGAUGAUGUGUCCUGGAUUUGGUUACUUUUCCCCACAGGCAAUUUCAGAUGUUUUUCGCCGGGUGAAUACGGAUUGAUAAUAUACAGGAGAGUAAAAACACACAGGAGAAUUUUAAUACACAAUGAAAAGAAUUCAUUUGUAAGUGAUCUGAGAGCCCAGUCCUCUCACCCACUCUUUCAUUUAACAGCUCCCAGUCUAUUAAGACUUUGCUUUACUCAACGAUUUCAUGUUAAUCUUCUUUUGUUUUAUAGCCCUUUAUUUUCCUGCUGGAAUCAAUAUCCCAUCAACGUCACCAACCGCCUACUCUGUGAUCUAUGAGAUGGUGCUAGUACAGGACUGAACUUACACCAGAGCAAUUUGCUUUAAAUGUUACCAACUCUUUAUCUGAAACAUUUCUUCCAGCUUAUUCUCAUAAUUUUACUACUUCUUGCAAAGCUGCUUCUCUGCUUCUAGAGAGUGGAGAGUGACAAGCGAAAUGUAAAAUGCCUGUAUAGAGCAUAUAGAGGUUGGGCUUGGAAGCACAAAAGUUAAAUCCGUGAAAUGAUGUCGGUCAACAGGAGAAGUGUUGGCUGUUUUCACACUGUGUGGCUGCUUAUGACACAAAUUUGAUGAAUUCAUUUCCACCUUGCUAGCGAAACCAAAUUGUUUCAGUGAGACCAUAUUUCAGAACAGUUUGGAUCCUGCCGGUAUAUUCAGAUUGCCUGAAAAUCAAGCAAAAUCAAUCAGUUUUGGUGCCCUGUAUCAUAUGGUGAUCUUGGACCCCUUUGCUUCCCUAGAGUUACCCUCAUUCGGCUGGGUGGACGUUGUCCUUCACAUCAUUUGUAUGAAUCCAGCUUGCACAUCACAGGGGACUCUGAGUUCUUUGCAGAUAUUAAUUUAGAACUUAAAAGUACAUUAUCCCCCUUUAAAAAUACAUUAUCCAAAUUGUGAUACCAGUGUUUUAAAUACAAUAAAUGAUUAGGUUGCUUCACUUAAUCUUGUCACUGAAUAUAAUUGCAGUCACUGAGAGGUGGACAUUGAAUUCUUUCUUGAUGCCUGUUAAGACAUUUUAUCUCAUUAAAGGAUGUUACUGGUAAUUAGGACACCUUGUGCUUUUCAAUAGUUACAUUUAUUUUAAAAGACACUGUUUUCUUCUUAACUGGAAUAAUUUCCUCUCAACGUGGGAGGAGGUCUGAUUCCCAGUGUCCACAUGAGGCAAAUAUGCAGGCAGCCCCCUGUGUCCACAGGCUCCCCGUCUGCAGGUGGCUGAAGCCAGAUGGAAAAUAGUACAGUUGACCCUCCGUAUCUGUGAGUUUCUAUCCAAGGAUGAGAAACCCAUGCAUAGGGAGGGCUGACUCUCUUUUAAUUUGUUUCAAGAUGUCUUUUUCCAUUCUGUUUUGAGUAUAUAAUGAAGCAGUAAAAAGGCAAAUUUAGUAUCUGUGCAAACUCAUUUUCUUGCUGAAAUUGCUUAGACUUGGUCCUUUAAGGGAAUGUUCAGAGAGCUAAUUUUAGAGGUCAGAAUCUAAGAAGACUUUUGGUUUUAGCUUUCUUCAUUAUGAAACGGGAAUAAUAAUUCCUGUCCUCAUGUCUUCUCAGGG